UACGUAGGGUGCGAGCGUUGUCCGGAAUUAUUGGGCGUAAAGAGCUUGUAGGCGGUUUGUCGCGUCUGCUGUGAAAUCUCAAGGCUCAACCUUGAGCUUGCAGUGGGUACGGGCAGACUAGAGUGUGGUAGGGGAGACUGGAAUUCCUGGUGUAGCGGUGAAAUGCGCAGAUAUCAGGAGGAACACCGAUGGCGAAGGCAGGUCUCUGGGCCACUACUGACGCUGAGAAGCGAAAGCAUGGGGAGCAAACGGG
rnacentral:rRNA from 1 species